rnacentral:snoRNA from 1 species
UCAGUUAUGGCUAUGCCUUUAUUUUUCCUUUGAAAAGUAAAGGAAGCCACAUUUAAUUCAAGGGCUUUGUUUUAAUUUUUUUUUUAGAACAAGAAGUAUAGUCAAAUAAUACCUUUCUGGCCUUGCCUCUAUUUGUGCUGCUGCCCAGAGUUCCUGACAGCAGCCUGCAGGAAGGCCCACAGGUGGGGCCCAGGGUAGGGCUGGGCACGAGCUAUCUGAGCGCAACCUUGGAUCUGACA